UAUUCUCGUUAGUGCCAUCUCCCCCACCUCCCCACUUAUCCAACCUCCUGAUUCCCAUCUGUGCCGCCAUCACCAUCCCUCGCACCGCCGAUUCCCGCACCCCGCGCGGUGACAGCCUCACCCUCAAACGCCGCCCUCCGCCGCUAGCUCCGCCCGCCGCCGAAUCCCAGUUGCCUCCAUCGACAAGCACGCUACUUGGAGCCCGGCCCAUCAGCGUCCGCCGUCCUCACCGUCACGAAGUCGUGCUCCUCCCGACCUCAUCCUCACCGUCAUGAAGCUGCAUCCAUGCCGGACUCACCCCUCGCCCAAGGCUCCGCUGUGUGUUCCGUCGUUACACCGGCCGCAAGCAGCUCUCGCCUCCAUCCAGCAUCUUCAGCCUCCACCAUGUCAAGCAGAAAGCACGCGUUGAAAAAAUUGAUAGGGUCAAUCAAGGCUGUGCAGAAUCAACUUUAGCAGACAAACAAUUCUCUAUCCAGGAAUUGCAUCCUAGCAAUUGCGCGAGAACAAAAGAGGGUCGCACCAGUUUAUCUUCACCACAUGAACACACGGUUGCUAAGAAAGCAUAUGAUGGUCCUGAAUCAAAGAAUGGUCAUGCUGAAAAUCGCAAUGCGACCAAACAAGGUGGUCCUGAAACCAAGUGUACAGCUAAAUCGUGUCACUAAGAAGGUAUGUAUGUAUGUAUAUGCUGAAUGACAAUGGUUAGAAUAGUUAGUUGGUCUAAUUCCAUGUGCAAUCGUCCGUUUUUGCAUAAAGUGAAAUCUUCCAUGGCUUGUGAUAAUGAAUGUUUCAUUUCUUCAAAACAUAGGAUAAAAUGGAAGUCUUGUUGUUUUUGUUGAACCUGACAAGCAAAAAUAAAUGUGUGGCUGAAGGAACUUUAGCGAGUAGAUAUGUUGGUGGAGGAAACAUGCUUGGAGAGCAAUAUCUAGCAAUUUUUUCAAGACUUGGAAAUUAGAGACUAGUUAGACCAUAUGAAAAAUUCCAAACAAUAGGGGAUGCCAUUGGUCAUGUUAUUGCAUGGCCUCUAUCACAUGUUAAAAAACCAAUCCCAACCACUCCUACAUAGCCUCAAAACAAGCCACCAAACACUGGGUAGCUCAAGGCUUAGAAAAGGAGUGCCUUGCAGGAGCCAGGAGCAACUACAGAAGAAUUAGUUUUUAAAUGGACAAAUAUUAUGUAGUAUGUAAAUGAUCUUUUCUUAAUUAUUUGCAUCUUUCAUAUGAUUGUCUAAUUUGAUUCAGAUCUGAACUCAAGGUGUUUGUUUCUACUGAUUGAAUUGUGCGAAUAAGAUGCUGGUGAAUACAAGUGGUGAUAUGGGUGGAUCCCUUUAUAUAA